rnacentral:lncRNA from 1 species
CUUAUCAUACUUAAGAUAUUUCAAAAAACAUAUUUCUAGUCCCGAGUUAUUUAACCUGGGAGCUUUCACUAAGGCGACUUCUGAUAUUGAGAGCUGAUCAAUUGCAUACAAAUUGAGUUCUGUCCCUGUAACCAUAUCCUUUACGGCUGUUGCUGGAAUUAGAGGCAUCCACUGAGCUCGGUUCAAGGUGGCUGUAAUGGCGAAACAAUUAAGGAGCUGGAGCUGGAGCUGGAGCUAGGAGGGGGAUCGUCGUGCCCUCUGAAAAUAAACUUACUUACCCUGCAAUC